UAGAGUUUGAUCAUGGCUCAGAUUGAACGCUGGCGGCAGGCCUAACACAUGCAAGUCGAACGGUAACAGGAAGCAGCUUGCUGCUUCGCUGACGAGUGGCGGACGGGUGAGUAAUGUCUGGGAAACUGCCCGGUGGAGGGGGAUAACUACUGGAAACGGUAGCUAAUACCGCAUAACGUCGCAAGACCAAAGAGGGGGACCUUCGGGCCUCUUGCCACCGGAUGUGCCCAGAUGGGAUUAGCUUGUUGGUGGGGUAACGGCUCACCAAGGCGACGAUCCCUAGCUGGUCUGAGAGGAUGACCAGCCACACUGGAACUGAGACACGGUCCAGACUCCUACGGGAGGCAGCAGUGGGGAAUAUUGCACAAUGGGCGCAAGCCUGAUGCAGCCAUGCCGCGUGUAUGAAGAAGGCCUUCGGGUUGUAAAGUACUUUUCAGCGGGGAGGAAGGGAUUGUGGUUAAUAACCGCAGUCAUUGACGUUACCCGCAGAAGAAGCACCGGCUAACUCCGUGCCAGCAGCCGCGGUAAUACGGAGGGUGCAAGCGUUAAUCGGAAUUACUGGGCGUAAAGCGCACGCAGGCGGUCUGUCAAGUCGGAUGUGAAAUCCCCGGGCUCAACCUGGGAACUGCAUUCGAAACUGGCAGGCUUGAGUCUCGUAGAGGGGGGUGGAAUUCCAGGUGUAGCGGUGAAAUGCGUAGAGAUCUGGAGGAAUACCGGUGGCGAAGGCGGCCCCCUGGACGAAGACUGACGCUCAGGUGCGAAAGCGUGGGGAGCAAACAGGAUUAGAUACCCUGGUAGUCCACGCCGUAAACGAUGUCUACUUGGAGGUUGUGCCCCUGAGGCGUGGCUUCCGGAGCUAACGCGUUAAGUAGACCGCCUGGGGAGUACGGCCGCAAGGUUAAAACUCAAAUGAAUUGACGGGGGCCCGCACAAGCGGUGGAGCAUGUGGUUUAAUUCGAUGCAACGCGAAGAACCUUACCUGGUCUUGACAUCCAGAGAACUUUCCAGAGAUGGAUUGGUGCCUUCGGGAACUCUGAGACAGGUGCUGCAUGGCUGUCGUCAGCUCGUGUUGUGAAAUGUUGGGUUAAGUCCCGCAACGAGCGCAACCCUUAUCCUUUGUUGCCAGCGGUCCGGCCGGGAACUCAAAGGAGACUGCCAGUGAUAAACUGGAGGAAGGUGGGGAUGACGUCAAGUCAUCAUGGCCCUUACGACCAGGGCUACACACGUGCUACAAUGGCAUAUACAAAGAGAAGCGACCUCGCGAGAGCAAGCGGACCUCAUAAAGUAUGUCGUAGUCCGGAUUGGAGUCUGCAACUCGACUCCAUGAAGUCGGAAUCGCUAGUAAUCGUGGAUCAGAAUGCCACGGUGAAUACGUUCCCGGGCCUUGUACACACCGCCCGUCACACCAUGGGAGUGGGUUGCAAAAGAAGUAGGUAGCUUAACCUUCGGGAGGGCGCUUACCACUUUGUGAUUCAUGACUGGGGUGAAGUCGUAACAAGGUAGCCGUAA
rnacentral:rRNA from 1 species